ensembl:lncRNA
UGGGAAGUCGAUGGUCAGUUCUGUUUGGUUGUGGCUGGUAGUGUGAAACCACUAGGAAAUGUGUCUAGUUCCAAGAUAGGCAGGAGUCUCAGACUGCAGAGUUGUGGCCCUUCCAUGACCAAAAUUUGACAACUUUGAGAAUCCUGACCAGCUGUCUCACUGUGUGGUGAGGGACCUGCACAGCCUCCGACCGUAAGACCCUUCAGUGAAUUGUGAGGAUACCUCGAUACGUCAUAUAACAACCACUGCAUCCUCAAAAAGCCACCAGUAUUGCAGACGACCCUUCUCACCCCACUCAUGGAGUCUUCACCCUACUGCCAUGGCAGAUGGCACAGGAGCAUCCGUGCCACCACCAGCACACUCCGCAACAGUUUCUUCCCUGGGGCAGAUUACUCAACACCCUCCUGCCUCCCAACGCUCACCUCGGCUAGUCAAACAUCUAACCCAGAAUGACUCAGUACCACUGCACAUGCACUUUACAAAGAUGCAUCAGUCACUUUUUUGCUGCCGAUAUUGCUGCCUUACUUGUGCUGUUACAUUACACAAUAGUUUACAGUUCACAGCCCAUGUUCUCUGUACUUAUUGUCCUGUGUAUGUAUCGUCUUGCGCUCAUUUCAUGCUGUUGCACCAUGGUCCCGAGGAAAUGACGUUUCGUUACAAUGUAUACAAACUAUAUAGAGGAAUGACAAUAAAAACCCACCUG